GACGUAGGGCGCGAGCGUUGUCCGGAUUUAUUGGGCGUAAAGAGCUCGUAGGCGGUUUGUCGCGUCUGCUGUGAAAACUCGGGGCUUAACCCCGGGCCUGCAGUGGGUACGGGCAGACUAGAGUGCGGUAGGGGAGACUGGAAUCCUGGUGUAGCGGUGAAAUGCGCAGAUAUCAGGAGGAACACCGGUGGCGAAGGCGCCGCUCUGGGCCGAAACUGACGCUGAGGAGCGAAAGCGUGGGGAGCGAACAGG
rnacentral:rRNA from 1 species